AUACGUAGGGGGCGAGCGUUGUCCGGAAUGAUUGGGCGUAAAGGGCGCGUAGGCGGCGCGGUAAGUCUGGAGUGAAAGUCCUGCUUUCAAGGUGGGAAUUGCUUUGGAUACUGCCGCGCUUGAGUGCUGGAGAGGUAGACGGAAUUCCUUGUGUAGCGGUGAAAUGCGUAGAGAUCGGGAGGAACACCAGUGGCGAAGGCGGGUAACUGGACUGCAACUGACGCUGAGGCGCGAAAGUGUGGGGAGCAAACAGGAUUAGAUACCCUGGUAGUCCACACUGUAAACGAUGAAUGCUAGGUGUAAGAGGUAUCGACCCCUUUUGUGCCGGAGUCAACACAAUAAGCAUUCCGCCUGGGGAGUACGGCCGCAAGGUUGAAACUCAAAUGAAUUGACGGGG
rnacentral:rRNA from 1 species